CACUAUCGUUAACUGAAUACAUAGGUUAACGAGGCGAACCGGGGGAACUGAAACAUCUAAGUACCCCGAGGAAAAGAAAUCAACCGAGAUUCCCCCAGUAGCGGCGAGCGAACGGGGAGCAGCCCAGAGUCUGAAUCAGCUUGUGUGUUAGUGGAACGGUCUGGAAAGUCCGACGGUACAGGGUGAUAGUCCCGUACACCAAAAUGCACAGGCUGUGAACUCGAAGAGUAGGGCGGGACACGUGGUAUCCUGUCUGAAUAUGGGGGGACCAUCCUCCAAGGCUAAAUACUCCUGACUGACCGAUAGUGAACCAGUACCGUGAGGGAAAGGCGAAAAGAACCCCGGCGAGGGGAGUGAAAAAGAACCUGAAACCGUGUACGUACAAGCAGUGGGAGCACCUUCGGGUGUGACUGCGUACCUUUUGUAUAAUGGGUCAGCGACUUAUAUUCUGUAGCAAGGUUAACCGUAUAGGGGAGCCGCAGGGAAACCGAGUCUUAACUGGGCGUUAAGUUGCAGGGUAUAGACCCGAAACCCGGUGAUCUAGCCAUGGGCAGGUUGAAGGUUGGGUAACACUAACUGGAGGACCGAACCGACUAAUGUUGAAAAAUUAGCGGAUGACUUGUGGCUGGGGGUGAAAGGCCAAUCAAACCGGGAGAUAGCUGGUUCUCCCCGAAAGCUAUUUAGGUAGCGCCUCGUGAAUUCAUCUUCGGGGGUAGAGCACUGUUUCGGCUAGGGGGUCAUCCCGACUUACCAACCCGAUGCAAACUACGAAUACCGAAGAAUGUUAUCACGGGAGACACACGGCGGGUGCUAACGUCCGUCGUGAAGAGGGAAACAACCCAGACCGCCAGCUAAGGUCCCAAAGUCAUGGUUAAGUGGGAAACGAUGUGGGAAGGCACAGACAGCCAGGAUGUUGGCUUAGAAGCAGCCAUCAUUUAAAGAAAGCGUAAUAGCUCACUGGUCGAGUCGGCCUGCGCGGAAGAUGUAACGGGGCUAAACCAUGCACCGAAGCUGCGGCAGCGACACUAUGUGUUGUUGGGUAGGGGAGCGUUCUGUAAGCCUGCGAAGGUGACCUGUGAGGCAUGCUGGAGGUAUCAGAAGUGCGAAUGCUGACAUAAGUAACGAUAAAGCGGGUGAAAAGCCCGCUCGCCGGAAGACCAAGGGUUCCUGUCCAACGUUAAUCGGGGCAGGGUGAGUCGACCCCUAAGGCGAGGCCGAAAGGCGUAGUCGAUGGGAAACAGGUUAAUAUUCCUGUACUUGGUGUUACUGCGAAGGGGGGACGGAGAAGGCUAUGUUAGCCGGGCGACGGUUGUCCCGGUUUAAGCAUGUAGGCUGAUUGUCCAGGCAAAUCCGGAUAAUCAAGGCUGAGGUGUGAUGACGAGGCACUACGGUGCUGAAGUAACAAAUGCCCUGCUUCCAGGAAAAGCCUCUAAGCAUCAGGUAACAUCAAAUCGUACCCCAAACCGACACAGGUGGUCAGGUAGAGAAUACCAAGGCGCUUGAGAGAACUCGGGUGAAGGAACUAGGCAAAAUGGUGCCGUAACUUCGGGAGAAGGCACGCUGGUGUGUAGGUGAAGUCCCUGCGGAUGGAGCUGAGACCAGUCGAAGAUACCAGCUGGCUGCAACUGUUUAUUAAAAACACAGCACUGUGCAAACACGAAAGUGGACGUAUACGGUGUGACGCCUGCCCGGUGCCGGAAGGUUAAUUGAUGGGGUUAUCCGUAAGGAGAAGCUCUUGAUCGAAGCCCCGGUAAACGGCGGCCGUAACUAUAACGGUCCUAAGGUAGCGAAAUUCCUUGUCGGGUAAGUUCCGACCUGCACGAAUGGCGUAAUGAUGGCCAGGCUGUCUCCACCCGAGACUCAGUGAAAUUGAACUCGCUGUGAAGAUGCAGUGUACCCGCGGCAAGACGGAAAGACCCCGUGAACCUUUACUAUAGCUUGACACUGAACAUUGAGCCUUGAUGUGUAGGAUAGGUGGGAGGCUUUGAAGCGUGGACGCCAGUCUGCGUGGAGCCAACCUUGAAAUACCACCCUUUAAUGUUUGAUGUUCUAACGUUGGCCCCUUACCGGGGUUGCGGACAGUGUCUGGUGGGUAGUUUGACUGGGGCGGUCUCCUCCCAAAGCGUAACGGAGGAGCACGAAGGUUAGCUAAUCCUGGUCGGACAUCAGGAGGUUAGUGCAAUGGCAUAAGCUAGCUUGACUGCGAGCGUGACGGCGCGAGCAGGUGCGAAAGCAGGUCAUAGUGAUCCGGUGGUUCUGAAUGGAAGGGCCAUCGCUCAACGGAUAAAAGGUACUCCGGGGAUAACAGGCUGAUACCGCCCAAGAGUUCAUAUCGACGGCGGUGUUUGGCACCUCGAUGUCGGCUCAUCACAUCCUGGGGCUGAAGUAGGUCCCAAGGGUAUGGCUGUUCGCCAUUUAAAGUGGUACGCGAGCUGGGUUUAGAACGUCGUGAGACAGUUCGGUCCCUAUCUGCCGUGGGCGCUGGAGAAUUGAGGGGGGCUGCUCCUAGUACGAGAGGACCGGAGUGGACGCAUCACUGGUGUUCGGGUUGUCAUGCCAAUGGCACUGCCCGGUAGCUAAAUGCGGAAGAGAUAAGUGCUGAAAGCAUCUAAGCACGAAACUUGCCCCGAGAUGAGUUCUCCCUGAGACUAUAAGUCUCCUGAAGGAACGUUGAAGACGACGACGUUGAUAGGCCGGGUGUGUAAGCGCAGCGAUGCGUUGAGCUAACCGGUACUAAUGAACCGUGAGGCUUAACCUU
rnacentral:rRNA from 1 species